rnacentral:rRNA from 1 species
AUAUUGGCGAGAGACCGAUAGCGAACAAGUACCGUGAGGGAAAGAUGAAAAGCACUUUGGAAAGAGAGUUAAACAGUACGUGAAAUUGUUGAAAGGGAAACGCUUGAAGUCAGUCGCGUUGGCAGAGACUCAGCCUUGCUUUGCAUGGUGUACUUCUCAGUUAACGGGUCAACAUCAAUUUCAGUUGGUGGAUAAAGGCAUUGGGAAUGUGGCACCUUCGGGUGUGUUAUAGACCUUUGUUGCAUACACUGACCGGGAUUGAGGAACGCAGCACGCCACUACGGCCAGGGAUUCGUCCCAUGUAACGUGCUUAGGAUGUUGGCAUAAUGGCUUUAAGCGACCCGUCUUGAAACACGGACC